rnacentral:misc_RNA from 1 species
GGACAAUGUACAACAAAAAAAGGAAAAUAAAAUGAAAUAAAUAAAGGGCCCAUUAAAAAGACAAAAGGCAUGAUUUUGUCAUCUUCUUGAAAGAACAAUAAAGAAAGUAACUAUGAGCAAUCGAAAUUAAAGUUGUGGACAAGAGCAGAAGUAACUACUAAAGGGACUAAAAAAAACCGAAGGAUUGAGAAGAGGCUCACGGAGCAGAGAUGGUUCCUCCCCAGUGAAAGGUUGUUAGAGCCCUAUAGUAUCUCAACUCUUCCUUCUCGAUCACAUGAUGAGGUUGCAGAGACCCCCCUUAAUCUCGUUUCCACAAGCUUCUCCAUCUUAGGCUUUUAGCACAAAAAGAUUCACCGUUUAUGUCUAUUUUUUAUCCACUCUCACGAUUUUGCUCUCUUAACUUUGCUCUCUUCAAUUAUAUUCUCUCUACUGUACUCUUUGACAAAAAGAAUGAUGGUAUUUUUCUUUCCUGUUGUUGGUCCUGAGUUAGGAAUGCGUGCAUGUCUUACCUACCAGUAAACUUGCAAACUCGUUGUGCUCUGUUAAUUUGCAAACUCGUCUAAUUGGGGAUUUCAACCACGUUCUGUCUGCAAUUGUAGAAAAAGUGCAUGUCCAUCUUCAUUUGCAUCAGAUUGUCUAACGAGGUGGC